AUGCUGAAUGGUUCCGGUGCCGGGGUAGUAUUGGUCUCCCCCCGAGGAGAUAAGCUUAGAUAUGUCCUUCAAAUCCACUUUGAUUCCUCCAAUAACGAGGCAGAAUAUGAAGCACUUUUAUAUGGGUUGCGCAUGGCCAUUUCACUCGGCGUCCGUCGCGUCAUGGUCUAUGGCGACUCAGAUUUGGUGGUUAAUCAGGUGAUGAAGGAGUGGGACGUCAGAAGUCCAGCCAUGACUGGUUAUUGCAAUGCAGUGAGAAAGCUGGAGAAGAAAUUCGAGGGGUUAGAACUUCAUCACAUACCCCGACUGAAAAAUCAAGCAGCUGAUGAUUUGGCAAAAAUAGGUUCCAAAAGAGAAGCCAUUCCCAGCAAUGUGUUUUUGGAACACAUCCACACACCAUCGGUUCAGGAGGAUCCCUUCACUGAAGAGGCCCCGCAGCCAAAAAGUGCCACGGAUCCGACUGAAAUUGAAGUUCCAGCUGUGGUCGACCUGAUCAUGGAAGUCUUGGUCAUCACUCCCGACUGGACAAUAUCGUACAUCGCGUACAUCCUAAGUAAAGAACUCCCAGAGGACGAAGAAGAGGCUCGACAGAUCGUCCAUCGAUCCAAGGCCUUUACAGUCAUAAAGGGACAGUUGUAUAGAGAAAGCGCGACUGGAGUCAGUCAGAAGUGUAUAACACCAGAAGAAGGUCAGAUGAUC
rnacentral:rRNA from 1 species